UGGGGAAUAUUGGACAAUGGGCGAAAGCCUGAUCCAGCCAUGCCGCGUGUGUGAAGAAGGUCUUCGGAUUGUAAAGCACUUUAAGUUGGGAGGAAGGGCAUUAACCUAAUACGUUAGUGUUUUGACGUUACCGACAGAAUAAGCACCGGCUAACUCUGUGCCAGCAGCCGCGGUAAUACAGAGGGUGCAAGCGUUAAUCGGAAUUACUGGGCGUAAAGCGCGCGUAGGUGGUUUGUUAAGUUGGAUGUGAAAUCCCCGGGCUUAACCUGGGAACUGCAUUCAAAACUGACUGACUAGAGUAUGGCAGAGGGUGGUGGAAUUUCCUGUGUAGCGGUGAAAUGCGUAGAUAUAGGAAGGAACACCAGUGGCGAAGGCGACCACCUGGACUAAUACUGACACUGAGGUGCGAAAGCGUGGGGAGCAAACA
rnacentral:rRNA from 1 species